rnacentral:lncRNA from 1 species
UCUGUCACUUUAGUUGGAGGUUCUUAGAUUCGUGGAAUUCUAGAAUCUUACACCACGGAGAUCAGCAUCUUCCUGUCAAACCAGUUUAGUCUCAAAGCCUUAGAGGGAUGGACUCCUGGAGGUUCGCUCACUUUGCUGAGUUCUCUGAUCCUGAGUCACGAGUGGGGAGACCUUCUCUGAUGACCUUCCCCACAACACACGCCCACACCCCUCUCUGUCACUCUAUUGUUUCACUUGGCUUCAUUGUUCUUCCCAACACGGCUCACCACCUGACAUCUGAGGAGCGAGAGGCUGCCAAACUGCCUGGCCUUGAACCCCAGCCUAGGAACCCAGUUCUGGAACACUGCCUGAACACACAAGCCGGUUAUUUUUAAAAAUCCAAAAAGAAAAGGAAGAAAGAGCAAACUCACUGCUUCGGUCUAUGCACCAGCCCCAGCUGAGAGAAUAGAGGCUUGAAAGGAACAAAGAAUUUCCUCAAACACGGCAGAUCAAGGGCUUGGCUUAUGCGGUAACCGGUGGCCGACCACAGCG